rnacentral:rRNA from 1 species
CCUACGGGUGGCAGCAGUAGGGAAUCUUCCACAAUGGGCGGAAGCCUGAUGGAGCAACGCCGCGUGGGUGAAGAAGGUCUUCGGAUCGUAACACCCUGUUGUUAGAGAAGAAAGUGCGUGAGAGUAACUGUUCACGUUUCGACGGUAUCUAACCAGAAAGCCACGGCUAACUACGUGACCACAGCCGGGGUAAUACUUAGGGGGUAAGAGUUAUCCGGAUUUAUUGGGCGUACAGUGAACGCAGGCGGUCUUUUAAGUCUGAUGUGAAAGCCUUCGGCUUAACUGAGGAACUGGAACCAAAACUAACUGUCUUGAGUGCUGGAGAGGAAAGUGGAAUUCCUAGUGUAGCGGUGAAAUGCGUAGAUAUUAGGAGGAACACCAGUGGCGAAGGCGACUUUCUGGACAGUAACUGACGUUGAGGCACGAAAGUGUGGGGAGCAAACAGGAUUAGAUACCCGGGUAGUC